UGUAUUUGUGUGUGUGUGUG
rnacentral:ncRNA from 2 species